UUAAUACCGGAUAGAUCAAAGAAACUGGAAUGUUCUUUGUUCGAAAGCUCCGGCGCCCAAGGAUGGGUCUGCGGCCUAUCAGGUAGUAGUGGGUGUAACGUACCUACUAGCCUACGACGGGUAAGGGUUGUGAGAGCAAGAGCCCUGAGAUGGAUUCUGAGACAUGAAUCCAGGCCCUACGGGGUGCAGCAGGCGCGAAAACUUUACACUGCGGGAAACCGCGAUAAGGGGACCCCGAGUGCCAGCACCUAGUGCUGGCUGUCCAGCUGUUCAAAAAACAGUUGUUAGCAAGGGCCGGGCAAGACCGGUGCCAGCCGCCGCGGUAACACCGGCGGCCCGAGUGGUAGCCGUUAUUAUUGGGUUUAAAGGGUCCGUAGCCGGCCUAUUAAGUCUCUUGGGAAAUCUGGCGACUCAAUCGUCAGGCGUUCA
rnacentral:rRNA from 1 species